GAUGAAGAACGCAGUGAAAUGCGAUAAGUAAUGUGAAUUGCAGAAUUCAGUGAAUCAUCGAAUCUUUGAACGCACAUUGCGCCCCUUGGUAUUCCGGGGUGCAUGCCUGUUCGAGCGUCAUUAUAACCCCUCAAGCUCAGCUUGGUGUUGGGGCCUGCCAACUGGCAGCCCUUAAAAUCAGUGGCGGCGCCAUCUGGCUCUAAGCGUAGUAAUUUCUCUCGCUAUAGGGUCCAGGUGGAUGCUGGCCAGCAACCCCCAAUUUUCUAUGGUUGACCUCGGAUCAGGUAGGGAUACCCGCUGAACUUAAGCAUAUCAAUAAGCGGAGGA
rnacentral:misc_RNA from 1 species